UACAAAAACAUAAAAAUAUUUAUCUUUCCCAAAAUAUUAGGAGUUCCUUACAAUACAAUUAUAUUAGAGUCAGAUAAAGUUAUGGGAGAGUUAUUUUACCUCCCACGAACUUUCUCCCACAGAACAAUUCAAUAUAAGUAUUAAAAAGUAAUAAUAAAAUAUGAUACAAAAUUCAUCAGCUCCCCAAAAUUAAUUAAUUAAUUGUAUCACAGUAAUUUCCCAUCGAUAUCGCUCCCAGCCAUGCUGGCGAUGCGAUGAUCUAACCUACUCUAACCUAUUCUAAACCCAUUCUGACUGUCGGUCGAUUUGCGCUGGCUUAUAUUGGCAUCGGGCUCGAUUGUCGUGACGUCACGACAAAGUGAAAAUACCCGCCAUGCUUGUUAGUUGAUAUGCUGCCAUGCCGAUCGAACCGACGAAAGGAAACACGCACCCUAGGGCGCGGAUAAUUACCGAGGGAAACAUUCAUUAUACUUAUCGCUGAUGGACUUUGUAAGCAUAAACAAAACAAUCAUGAACAUUUUAAGUGUUACUUGGGAGUGCAUUAUAUCGAGGAAUUUCGGGCGUCACUAAUUACCGACCUCGUCCCAAUUGUACACUUGAAAAUGUUACUUAUACAGUAACGGGAAUAAUUACGGAACCGUAACACGGCACCCUCCCAUGAAGAACAUUCGUCCUCGAAUGGUUUUAUACUUCAGUUAGGGAAUAUUUAAAGAAUAUUUUCACGAUCUAUCCACAGGAGGCUCUAUCUGUCAGCUUUGGCUUGUCCUUUUUUUAUGGUUCCUGGUCCUUGAUUCGUCUACGGAUGGCUUUAUCGGGUCUACUCUGCCGAGUACUAAAUCUACUGGGAGUAUGACUGAUCGCCCAAAUACCAUUUCACAAGGGCUUACCCCUGUGGCCUCAUGAGAAGAUGAUCGAUAUGCCAACAUGAG